UACGUAGGGGGCUAGCGUUGUCCGGAUUUAUUGGGCGUAAAGAGCGUGUAGGCGGCCAUGUAGGUCCGGUGUGAAAACUCGAGGCUUAACCUCGAGAUGUCAUCGGAAACCAUUUGGCUAGAGUCCAGAAGAGGAGAGUGGAAUUCCUGGUGUAGCGGUGAAAUGCGCAGAUAUCAGGAAGAACACCAAUGGCGAAAGCAGCUCUCUGGGACGGUACUGACGCUGAGACGCGAAAGCGUGGGGAGCGAACAGG
rnacentral:rRNA from 1 species